CGCGUAGGUGGUAGUGUAAGUCUGGGGUGGAAUCCCAGGGCUUAACCCUGGAACUGCCUUGGAAACUGUAUUACUUGAGUCAGUGAGGGGAGGGUAGAAUUCCUGGUGUAGCGGUGAAAUGCGUAGAUAUCAGGAGGAAGGCCCGUGGCGAAGGCGGCCCUCUGGCGCUGGACUGACACUGAGGCGCGAAAGCGUGGGGAGCAAACAGGAUUAGAUACCCUGGUAGUCCACGCCCUAAACGGUGGGCACUAGGUGUAGGGCUCGUAAGGGUUCUGUGCCGAAGGGAAACCAUUAAGUGCCCCGCCUGGGGAGUACGGCCGCAAGGUUGAA
rnacentral:rRNA from 1 species